rnacentral:hammerhead_ribozyme from 1 species
AUUCAGAUGAAGAGUCUCAGAUGAGACGAAGUGCGCAUCCUGGAU